GUAGGUGGCAAGCGUUGUCCGGAAUUAUUGGGCGUAAAGCGCGCGCAGGCGGUCCUUUAAGUCUGAUGUGGAAGCCCACGGCUCAACCGUGGAGGGUCAUUGGAAACUGGGGGACUUGAGUACAGAAGAGGAAAGCGGAAUUCCACGUGUAGCGGUGAAAUGCGUAGAGAUGUGGAGGAACACCAGUGGCGAAGGCGGCUUUCUGGUCUGUAACUGACGCUGAGGCGCGAAAGCGUGGGGAGCAAACAGGGAUUAGAUACCCUGGUAGUCCACGCCGUAAACGAUGAGUGCUAAGUGUUAGGGGGUUUCCCGCCCCUUAGUGCUGCAGCUAACGCAUUAAGCACUCCGCCUGGGGAGUACGGCCGCAAGGCUG
rnacentral:rRNA from 1 species